rnacentral:ncRNA from 1 species
AUUAACUCCUAGCCUUCACACCUACGUUUCAGUCAGAACAGGAAAUAGGGUGAGCUGGCCGUGGCACUCCAGAGUGUCACCAGGGUGCAGGAUAGAAAUGUCCGCAUCUCCCGUAUUUGGAAAGGUGUUAUGA